rnacentral:rRNA from 1 species
AACGAACGCUGGCGGCAGGCCUAACACAUGCAAGUCGAGCGAGGACUUCGGUCCUAGCGGCGGACGGGUGAGUAACGCGUGGGAACGUGCCCUUUGCUUCGGAAUAGCCCUGGGAAACUGGGAGUAAUACCGGAUGAGCCCUUUGUGGGAAAGAUUUCUCGGCGAAGGAUCGGCCCGCGUUGGAUUAGGUAGUUGGUGGGGUAAUGGCCUACCAAGCCGACGAUCCAUAGCUGGUUUGAGAGGAUGAUCAGCCACACUGGGACUGAGACACGGCCCAGACGCCAAGGAGAGGCAGCAGUGGGGAAUCAUAGAGAAGGGGGGAAACCCUGAAAUAGCCAGGGCGGGUGAGCGAUGAAGGCGUUAGGGUUGGAAAGCCGUAUCAGCGGGGAAGAUAAUGACGGUACCAGCAGAAGAAGCCCCGGCUAACUCCGUG